rnacentral:rRNA from 1 species
AGAGUUUGAUCAUGGCUCAGGACGAACGCUGGCGGCGUGCCUAAUACAUGCAAGUCGAGCGAACCGACGAGGUGCUUGCACCUUUGACGUUAGCGGCGAACGGGUGAGUAACACGUAAGGAAUCUACCUAUAAGUGGGGGAUAACAUCCGGAAACGGGUGCUAAUACCGCAUAAUAACCGACACCACAUGGUGUUGGUUUGAAAGAUGGCUCUGCUGUCACUUAUAGAUGACCUUGCGGUGCAUUAGCUAGUUGGUGGGGUAAUAGCCUACCAAGGCCAUGAUGCAUAGCCGACCUGAGAGGGUGAUCGGCCACAUUGGGACUGAGACACGGCCCAAACUCCUACGGGAGGCAGCAGUAGGGAAUCUUCCGCAAUGGACGCAAGUCUGACGGAGCAACGCCGCGUGAGUGAAGAAGGUUUUCGGAUCGUAAAACUCUGUUAUAAGAGAAGAACAAGUUGUAGAGUAACUGUUGCAGCUUUGACGGUAUCUUAUCAGAAAGCCACGGCUAACUACGUGCCAGCAGCCGCGGUAAUACGUAGGUGGCAAGCGUUGUCCGGAUUUAUUGGGCGUAAAGGGAGCGCAGGUGGUUUCUUAAGUCUGAUGUGAAAGCCCACGGCUCAACCGUGGAGGGUCAUUGGAAACUGGGAAACUUGAGUACAGAAGAGGAAAGUGGAAUUCCAUGUGUAGCGGUGGAAUGCGUAGAUAUAUGGAGGAACACCAGUGGCGAAGGCGACUUUCUGGUCUGUUACUGACACUGAGGCUCGAAAGCGUGGGGAGCAAACAGGAUUAGAUACCCUGGUAGUCC